GUUGUCAGUUAAAGCGCAAAAAUCCAAUUUUUCUCUGAAAUUAAAAUAUUUAUUCGCGUAAAUCGCGGCACUCUUGACUUAUCGGCAUUUUCACCUGUUACAAUGCGUAGUUUCAUCGGUGCAUGUAAAGGUGGACGGAACGGAACGGGCUAGGGCACCAAUAGAUUUCAGAAAACAUAGAUGAUACAUGCAUCGUAGAACAAAACUCAUCAAGAUAUCACGAACAGAUAAAUCAGAUUAUCUGCCUUCGGCCCAAAGAGAUUUGAUUAAAUUAGACUUGGCGUCACGAUGUACUAACUAUAACAAAGCAAUGGGCUCUAAAUUGCCAAGUUGUUGCAAAUAUUAUCCAGAUCAAAGAUAUUCUGUUGAAUAAAAAAACCUCAAGUUGAAACCUGCCAUCAUCAGAUAUGGCUAAGGCAGAAAUUCUAUUGAAUCGAACAGCAAUCGUGAAACAAUCUAUAUUUCUCUUUAAAAAUAUAUAUUUACAUUAAUUAAUUUUCGGAGUGAUUUCCCCACCCAACUGUAAAACAGACAAUCCUUCACUUCAACCGAAGAUUACAAUUCAAGUGUAAGAGGAAUUUGUGGUGGUUCUCUAUUGCCGUCGAGAUUUACCAGCAAUCAUUAGGUGAACUAUUUUUUAGCUUUUUAGAACCAACCGCAAGAACCAACACAGCAUGUUUCAUCAAAGCACUGCAUUUCUGUUGUUGGGAUUGUUGUGAGUCGCACAUCUUCAUCAAUGUAACAACAAUCUUAUCCCAAAACAACAGAUGAUAAACAGCUGGCGUGCCUACGAAAAGAGAUCGGAUGCAAGGAAACCGGCAAUGAAGGUGAACAAAUAAAACAAAGUGCUCGUUUGUGAUAUACAAUGAAAUAAAUAUCAGUUUAUUAAUGUGUCUAUGUAUCAUGUAUGAUGUGCGUACAAACAACUUUCCACAUUUCUCAUUAUAUUUUUUUAUUAAUAAUAACAAUCGAAUAUGGUUAUAUGAUCGCGUGUUUGUGUGUUUUGAUAUACAAGACAAUAUAUAUAUUAAAAAUGUAUAAUUUUCCAAGCAUAUUAAAUUUUUGUUCGUUCAGCUCAACCGUAUUCUUUUUCGCAUUUCAAAAAACUGCAUUGUACAAAUCAAAAUAAUAA